rnacentral:rRNA from 1 species
AGCUCCAAUAGCGUAUAUUAAAGUUGCUGCAGUUAAAAAGCUCGUAGUUGCAUUUCCGAGGCAAGGGAUUAGUCCGACCUUUGGUGGGUAUUUAAUCCUCUUGCCUCGUCCUUGAGUGGUGCUUCUUGGUAUUAAGUUAUCGAGGAGAUAGCCGCUCAUCGUUUACUGUGAGAAAAUUAGAGUGUUCAAAGCAGGCUUAUGCCGUUGAAUAUAUUAGCAUGGAAUAAUAAGAUAGGACCGCGGUACUAUUUGGUUGGUUUGAGAACCAAGGUAAUGAUGAAUAGGGACAGUUGGGGGUAUUCGUAUUCAGUUGUCAGAGGUGAAAUUCUUAGAUUUACGGAAGACGAACUACUGCGAAAGCAUUUACCAAGGAUGUUUUCA